rnacentral:sRNA from 1 species
AAUCCCCAACCCGGGUAAUGAGGUUUUUAGGGUGACACUGGCUUACGGUUCAGGUCGAGCCAUUUCUGUUACCCCAAACUUUUAACAUCACCUCCUAGUCCUUACACUUUUUACUAGCCUUCCAAGCCAUCCUUUUUUAAAAAAAACUUAAUUGUAUUAUUUUACGUGUAUAGGUGUUUUGUUUGUGUAUGCCUGCAUCAUGUGCCUAGAUGCCCGCAGUCAGAAUUGGGUAACGGAUUCCCUGGAACAAGAGUUACAAACAUUUGUGAGACUAGGAAUUUUACCCAGAUCCUCUGAAAGAGCUUUUCCAACGCACAGCGGACACUGACUGAGGUGGCUAUGCCCUACUGGAACUUCACAGCUACUCCAGUCUGACAGUCUUCCAGGAUCUCCACGGGGCAAUGAGGCAGGAAAUUUAUGGCUUGGCCUGAUUAAUGGGCCAAGCAGUUAGGAGUUGGUUGCCAGGCUAGUCGCAUAAUUUAACGUUUCCAGGCAGGAGAAGAGGCCUCUAACUCACACCUUUCAAGGGCUCUGGGAGCAGGAGGUGCAGGGGAUCAUUGAGACAUCUAUGCUCCUCCAAGCCCUGGUGUCCUCCUGUGUCGCCUCCCACUGCAGCCACAGAACAAGCUAUCUGAAUGAGUCCACACAGGAAAAGUUUCUCAGUUCCAAUAUGGUGAAGAUUGAGCGCCAUCUCUCAUGUAAACCAAAGCUCCCCGGCGUCUUUGAAGGAGGCCCUGAGCCUGAGUUUCUCUGCUUUCCCUCUGCAGACCUUACGCCCAACCUGGCAGAAAGAAAAGGAAUCAUGUGAACGUCACAUUUGGCCUGGGCUCAGAGUGAAGGGCUCAGCGGGUCUGCGCUCUGGGCUUGCUUGGACUCCACAGUAGAGCGAUCUCAUUGGCGUGAAGCCUUGAUGGUCCCCUGCUCUGACUCCCUUGGGUCCUUUCAAGACACUCUGCUUAACAGAUCCUGUGACAUACCGGGGAGACACACACGAUGUGCUAUACGCAACGUGAAGCAGAACAAACGGCCCAAGGCAUGCAGGUGCUGCUUGGUGUGUGCUGAAAGGGUGCAUCAGGGUCUGAAGGACCAGAGAGAUGGAGCGCUCCCAUGAGGGACACAGGGAGCUGCUGCUGUCAGCCGGAAACUCAGGGAUACGUCUAGGGCCGAGAAACUCAUUUCCCAUUUUCUGCAGAUGACAUAGAGACCAAGAAUCUAGGAAUCAAGGACUGUGAAGGUGGGGGAACCUCCCUGCACUGAUGGAUGGCCACUUUAGCAUUAGAAAUCAAUAUUCUCCUCACUUUAACUUUUGCUGCAAAUAUUUGCGGUUUUGCAUUUAGAAGGGGAAAGGGACAUUUGAUCCGGGCACGGCUCUCACGCCUUUGGGGUUGAGUGGCCCUUUCAUAGUGGUCUCCAGGACCAUCGGAAAACAAAUAUUUACGUUCUGAUUCAUAGCAGUAGCAAAAC